AGCGAACGUUUGCGGCGGGCCUAACACAUGCAAGUCGAACGCACUAGCAAUAGUGAGUGGCGCACGGGUGCGUAACACGUGGGUAAUCAACCCUUCAGCCUGGGAUAACGACUCGAAAGGGUCGCUAAUACCGGAUACGGCGCGAGAGGCUUCGGCUUCUCACGAGAAAGCCACGCAAGGGGCACUGAAGGACGAGCCUGCGGCCCAUCAGCUAGUUGGUGAGGUAAGAGCUCACCAAGGCUAAGACGGGUAGCUGGUCUGAGAGGAUGAUCAGCCACACUGGAACUGAGACACGGUCCAGACUCCUACGGGAGGCAGCAGUGGGGAAUAUUGCGCAAUGGGCGAAAGCCUGACGCAGCCACGCCGCGUGAGCGAUGAAGGCCUCGGUCGUAAGC
rnacentral:rRNA from 1 species